rnacentral:rRNA from 1 species
CCUACGGGAGGCAGCAGUGAGGAAUAUUGGACAAUGGGCGCAAGCCUGAUCCAGCCAUGCCGCGUGCAGGAAGACGCAUCUAUGGUGUGUAAACUGCUUUUGUACAGGAAGAAACACUCCCUCGUGAGGGAGCUUGACGGUACUGUAAGAAUAAGGAUCGGCUAACUCCGUGCCAGCAGCCGCGGUAAUACGGAGGAUCCAAGCGUUAUCCGGAAUCAUUGGGUUUAAAGGUCCGUAGGCGGUUUAANAAGUCAGUGGUGAAAUCUGGUCGCUCAACGAUCAAACGGCCAUUGAUACCUGUUAGACUUGAAUUACUAGGAAGUAACUAGAAUAUGUAGUGUAGCGGUGAAAUGCUUAGAUAUUACAUGGAAUACCAAUUGNGAG